rnacentral:lncRNA from 1 species
AUGCCUGAACCACCUCAGGAGGCAUGGUAGGAAUACUAGUAGGUAGUGGAGGAGGCGCAGGAUGUGGAGGAGUCUCUAUCUGUUCAGCAGCAGGUGCUGCCCGAAUAGCAGACGCAGUCGAUUCCCUCUCUAUAGGAUUUAGCUGACUAUGUUGGGAACGACCUCUUCCCCUCCCAACCAAUCUAGUGAGAGGUGGGUGUUCGUGUCGAGGAGGCAUGAUAAUCUAUAAGGGGAAACAAAGUGAGUUUAGGUCACCUCAGGCUCUAUAUGCUGAUACAUGUAUUCUAUUCAACCUAACCUAACUUAACUCGAGACCACACUGACACUGUAAAAUUUUUAAAAUAUCUUUAAAAUCAAAAACUAUUAUCUUUAAAACCAAAAGCUCUGAUAUCAAUUGAAUUGUCACGACCCAGAACUCUCCUCGAGCCCAUGACAACCGCCACGAUGCCCAGAUCGACACUCAUUACCCGAAAUGUCAACCGGAACCCUACAAGGCUUUAAUAUCAGCUUCUCAUUUCCCCUAUGAGUAACCGUCGCCAAAUAUCACGUUUUAAAAGAUUUUAAGCUAUUUCCAACUUAAAACAAAUAAAAUAAUAAUUUUCGUCUCACAGAGGUAUUUUGGUCAUUUUUUAAAAAAUUUUUGAAACUGGUUAUAAUGUAAUAUACAAGUACAAAACACAUAAUUCAUUAUCAAAAUGAGUUUAAAAGUCUAAAAUCUUCAUUUAAAACCAAAUUAUGAUUAUUUGGAUAUAAUAAGAAAAUAAAAUGAAUAUUAAGCAAAAUAUUCUAUUUUCUUAUAAAACAAUAUUUUUAGAACAUUGCGUAAAUAAUUUUUAUAGCGUAAAAGCAAAAUAAAUGCAUACAUGUUGUAAUACAAAUAACUAAAGUAUAAAAUUUAAUUUACAGUGACACGUGAGCCCACAAAUGACUAAAAGUAUCAAAAGAAAUGAACCUACAGUUUUUGGAUGUGGCAAGUCCAACUGUAGUCCUCGCCGAUAUCAGUUAUCUACAAUCUAUUUUGAGCCUGAAAUGGGUGGAAAUGAGGGUGGUAAGAUUAUAAAAUUUUAGUGAGUAAACAAAUACCAUCUAAAAUAUCUAAAGUCGAGUAAAUGGAGAAAGAUAAAAUAAAUCAUCAUACUUUAAUUUAUCAUAUUUCAACUCAUUUCAACCAAAUAAAAUUCAAUUCAUUUAAAUCGAGUAAUCAAUAUGGCUUAUGAAUUUCUUAAAACUUUGCUCAUGCCAAAAAUUAUUCUCAUACUUAGUUAUCAAGGAUACCUUGGCCGAGAGCUAUCCUAAACCGAGUUCGCCAAGGCUAUUAAAAAGUUAUAUACUCAUAAAUCAGGUUUUUAUUUAGAAAAUAUAGUCAUUCUUUGGCGUUGGUCGAGUUCCCCCUCAUGUGGUGGUUUGGCGUGAAGUGAACUCUAAAAGUUAUGCCUCGGGAGUUACCCUACUCGCCUCUCCAACAGAGGUAAAACAUGUCAGGAUUCCGUGCCCCUCUAAUAGGCUAGUCCACAGAACUUAACCCACUGCAGCAAGCAAUAUCCAC